GCUCAGCAACUUCACCCACAGCAACCAUGACUUUGAUCAGCGUCUUCAUCUGCACACUGGCCCUCUGGACUCAAGGAUCCAGAGGUCAGGUGACUGUGACUCAGACUCCUUCAGUGCAAACUCUUGUUCCGGGAAACACAGUCACCAUCAACUGUAGAACCAGUAGCAGAGUGUAUAGUGGUAACCGUCUCGCCUGGUACCUGCAGAAACCUGGAGAAGCUCCUAAACUCCUGAUCUACUUGGCUGAUAGCUUACACUCAGGGACUCCAGCUCGUUUCAGUGGCAGUGGAUCUAAUACUGACUUCACUCUGACCAUCAGUGGAGUCCAGACUGAAGAUGCAGGAGAUUACUACUGUCAGAGUUUCCAUGAGAUCAGUAGUAGCUAUGUGUUUACACAGUUUGGCUCGGGGUCACGAGUACAUCUUGGUCAUCGUGGAUUACACCACUCGGUGACCCACCUGAGGACGUCCAUCUACCACCCCCAGACAGACGGGCUGGUGGAGAGGUUCAAUCAAACACUGAAGAGGAUGCUCUGGAGGGUGGUAGAUGAGGAAGGAAGGAACUCAUCCUCUUCGCCGUCCAAGAAACCCCUCAAGCAUCAACCGGUUUCACCCCCUUCGAACUGCUCUUCAGACGGUGGCCUCGAGGACUGCUGGAUGUGGCCCGAGAGGUCUGGGAAGAGCAGCCCUCCCCCCUAUUGCACCCUGGUGGACUACGUCCAGGAAAUGCAGGAACAUAUCGACAAGGUCGAUCGUCAGGGAUCAAAUUGA